rnacentral:rRNA from 1 species
GCCAUUUUACCCUGAAUGCAUCUGAUCUCAUCUGACCUCAGAAGCUAAGCAGGGUCGGGCCUGAUUAGUACUUGGAUGGGAGGCACUAGUGGCACAGUAAU